rnacentral:lncRNA from 1 species
CCAACCACCAAAAAAACAAGACGAAAGAUAUAAAGCAUUAUCACCCAGGAUAUUUUGAAAAAAGAAAUGAUAAAACAGAAAUCCAAUUAACAAGUUCAACCUCAACAACAUAGGUUUUGGGUUCUGACAUGUUCCCAGUCCAAAUCAGCUUAACACAAUCAAAUUUAACUUAAAUGAGAAUACAUAGGUCAUUGGUCACUGAAGAUCCUUAAAUUAUCAGGGCAUGCUUCUUUCAAGCUUUAAUAGUCACACUGCAUAGGCACAGACCAGAAAGCUUUAUUUCAGAAGUUUGCCAUUCUGAACCCGGGGCUGCAUUUGGAUCAUACAAAAGUGUGU